GAUGAACGCUGGCGGCGUGCCUAAUACAUGCAAGUCGAGCGAACGGACGAGAAGCUUGCUUCUCUGAUGUUAGCGGCGGACGGGUGAGUAACACGUGGAUAACCUACCUAUAAGACUGGGAUAACUUCGGGAAACCGUAGCUAAUACCGGAUAAUAUUUUGAACCGCAUGGUUCAAAAGUGAAAGACGGUCUUGCUGUCACUUAUAGAUGGAUCCGCGCUGCAUUAGCUAGUUGGUAAGGUAACGGCUUACCAAGGCAACGAUGCAUAGCCGACCUGAGAGGGUGAUCAGCCACACUGGAACUGAGACACGGUCCAGACUCCUACGGGAGGCAGCAGUAGGGAAUCUUCCGCAAUGGGCGAAAGCCUGACGGAGCAACGCCGCGUGAGUGAUGAAGGCCUUCGGAUCGUAAAACUCUGUUAUUAGGGAAGAACAUAUGUGUAAGUAACUGUGCACAUCUUGACGGUACCUAAUCAGAAAGCCACGGCUAACUACGUG
rnacentral:rRNA from 1 species